GAUGAACGCUGGCGGUAUGCUUAACACAUGCAAGUCGUACGAAUGCAUUCUGGCUUGCCAGAAUGUAAUGAGUGGCGGACGGGUGAGUAACACGUAAGAACCUACCUUUUGGUGAGGGACAACCAUUGGAAACGAUGGCUAAUACCUCGUAUUGCUGAGAAGUGAAAGAUGAAAAUCGCCAAGAGAUGGGCUUGCGGCUGAUUAGCUAGUUGGUUGGGUAAUGGCUUACCAAGGCGAUGAUCAGUAGCUGGUCUGAGAGGACGAUCAGCCACACUGGAACUGAGACACGGUCCAGACUCCUACGGGAGGCAGCAGUGGGGAAUAUUGCACAAUGGAGGAAACUCUGAUGCAGCAACGCCGCGUGGAGGAUGACGCAUUUCGGUGUGUAAACUCCUUUUAUAAGGGAAGAUAAUGACGGUACCUUAUGAAUAAGCACCGGCUAACUCCGUG
rnacentral:rRNA from 1 species